rnacentral:tRNA from 4 species
GCCAAGAUAGCUCAGUUUGGUAGAGCAACGGUUUCGUAAAUCGUAGGGCGUGGGUUCGAUUCCCACUCUUGGCU